ensembl:lncRNA
ACCAGGGCGUCUGCGCCUGCGCGGAGCAAGGGGCGGAGCGGGGUCACACAUCCAGGCCCUGUGCAUGAAACAAAACAGUGAAAACCCGUCUGUGGGAAGCUGACAUUGGGUGGAGAGGGGCCGACAGUCAACAAGAGAACAUGUUCGUAGAGGAGGGUGCCGAGGAGGAAACAGCCCGGGAGCUGAGGGGCUGCUAGAAAGUGCACUUGAGUGGAGACCCGAAGGAUCAAGAUAUCAACAGUAUGGGGACUUCUGUGGCAGUCAUGUGGUUGAGUCCACAUUCCCACUGCAAGGAGAGCAGAGAUCAAUGAGCUCAGAGCAGUGGCCACUGUGGGGAGAGGAAGGCACCUGUGUGCUCUAUCUCCACACCCAGACUCCGGCCAUCGCUCACAUACCAAACCCAAGCACACCUGGAU